AACGAACGCUGGCGGCAGGCCUAACACAUGCAAGUCGAGCGCUUCCUUCGGGAAGAGCGGCGGACGGGUUAGUAACGCGUGGGAACGUGCCCUUCUCUAAGGAAUAGCCACUGGAAACGGUGAGUAAUACCUUAUACGCCCUUCGGGGGAAAGAUUUAUCGGAGAAGGAUCGGCCCGCGUUAGAACUUAGAGUAGGUUGGUGGGGUUAACGGCCUACCAAAGUCUACGAUCGUAUAGCUGGUUUUAGAGGAUGAUCAGCAACACUGGGACUGAGACACGG
rnacentral:rRNA from 1 species